rnacentral:rRNA from 1 species
AAAUUGAAGAGUUUGAUCAUGGCUCAGAUUGAACGCUGGCGGCAGGCCUAACACAUGCAAGUCGAACGGUAACAGGAAGCAGCUUGCUGCUUUGCUGACGAGUGGCGGACGGGUGAGUAAUGUCUGGGAAACUGCCUGAUGGAGGGGGAUAACUACUGGAAACGGUGGCUAAUACCGCAUAACGUCGCAAGACCAAAGAGGGGGACCUUCGGGCCUCUUGCCAUCAGAUGUGCCCAGAUGGGAUUAGCUUGUUGGUGAGGUAACGGCUCACCAAGGCGACGAUCCCUAGCUGGUCUGAGAGGAUGACCAGCCACACUGGAACUGAGACACGGUCCAGACUCCUACGGGAGGCAGCAGUGGGGAAUAUUGCACAAUGGGCGCAAGCCUGAUGCAGCCAUGCCGCGUGUAUGAAGAAGGCCUUCGGGUUGUAAAGUACUUUCAGCGGGGAGGAAGGUGUUGUGGUUAAUAACCGCAGCAAUUGACGUUACCCGCAGAAGAAGCACCGGCUAACUCCGUGCCAGCAGCCGCGGUAAUACGGAGGGUGCAAGCGUUAAUCGGAAUUACUGGGCGUAAAGCGCACGCAGGCGGUCUGUCAAGUCGGAUGUGAAAUCCCCGGGCUCAACCUGGGAACUGCAUUCGAAACUGGCAGGCUUGAGUCUUGUAGAGGGGGGUAGAAUUCCAGGUGUAGCGGUGAAAUGCGUAGAGAUCUGGAGGAAUACCGGUGGCGAAGGCGGCCCCCUGGACAAAGACUGACGCUCAGGUGCGAAAGCGUGGGGAGCAAACAGGAUUAGAUACCCUGGUAGUCCACGCCGUAAACGAUGUCUACUUGGAGGUUGUGCCCUUGAGGCGUGGCUUCCGGAGCUAACGCGUUAAGUAGACCGCCUGGGGAGUACGGCCGCAAGGUUAAAACUCAAAUGAAUUGACGGGGGCCCGCACAAGCGGUGGAGCAUGUGGUUUAAUUCGAUGCAACGCGAAGAACCUUACCUGGUCUUGACAUCCACAGAAGAAUCCAGAGAUGGAUUUGUGCCUUCGGGAACUGUGAGACAGGUGCUGCAUGGCUGUCGUCAGCUCGUGUUGUGAAAUGUUGGGUUAAGUCCCGCAACGAGCGCAACCCUUAUCCUUUGUUGCCAGCGGUUAGGCCGGGAACUCAAAGGAGACUGCCAGUGAUAAACUGGAGGAAGGUGGGGAUGACGUCAAGUCAUCAUGGCCCUUACGACCAGGGCUACACACGUGCUACAAUGGCGCAUACAAAGAGAAGCGACCUCGCGAGAGCAAGCGGACCUCAUAAAGUGCGUCGUAGUCCGGAUUGGAGUCUGCAACUCGACUCCAUGAAGUCGGAAUCGCUAGUAAUCGUGGAUCAGAAUGCCACGGUGAAUACGUUCCCGGGCCUUGUACACACCGCCCGUCACACCAUGGGAGUGGGUUGCAAAAGAAGUAGGUAGCUUAACCUUCGGGAGGGCGCUUACCACUUUGUGAUUCAUGACUGGGGUGAAGUCGUAACAAGGUAACCGUAGGGGAACCUGCGGUUGGAUCACCUCCUUACCUGAAAGAAGC